rnacentral:misc_RNA from 1 species
UUAAAAAAAAAAAAAAAAGCAGCUUUUUUCUCUUAAUUCUGUUAUUGGUGAUGCAGGUACAUAAACAACCCCCAUUAUUAUUUGAAUUCUUUCGUACGUAUUGUAAGGUAAAAUGAAGGGAUAAAAAUAUUGACUAUUUCACUAUUGCAGGACAUUCAACUAUCUGUCCAAGCGCCUUUACCAAAGUAUCUAACUGGAGAUCUACAGAGGCUUAUUCUGGAUGCCAUAUUUUCUAGUAAAACAUGGAGAUUAAUAUCUGUGAACUGAUUGCUAGCUGCCUGAAAUGAAGAGCACAUCCUUCACUUGCUGCAGAAACUGAUGUAUGCUUGGCUGUCAUCUAUUUCAAACACUUCUUGUUUAAACGCAGAAUGAAGCAUACACCCCAGAAAUUAUUAAUUUUCAUCACAUCUAGUGUAGAGGAGGCCUGUCAUUAAUGCUUGACACUUUCUGCAGAAGAUACUGAUGAUCCACAUCUGUGCAUGUUCUCUCUCUCUCCCCUCCCAACCUUCUGUUUCUUCAAACAUAGUUCUGACAGAUGUUAUCACAUGAAGCUAUAAGGAAGAUGUUUUUAGGUGACAAACAUGAGUGGAUGAGGCAUUCAAAUACUGAGGAGUCGAUGUCACUUGUUUCAACUUUGAGUCCUUCUCAAAAGGCAAUACUUUUGUAGUGUAUCAUCCUUGCACUCAGGAAGUUGAUCUCUGGCGGAGACUGAUGCAACAAGAAAUUCUAGAGCUUGAAGUUCUGAUUAAUGCCCACGUGUAGAAGAACUCGAAGAUGAAAACUAACUCUUGGGAAUCAAGAAAAUCUGUGAUGGCUACAAGAGUAGGGAUUGCAUUAAAAAUUUCUUCAAGGUCAGAAGAAGAGAUCAGAGAGAGUUUUGUUAAGAGUAGAAGAAAACGGCUGAGGGGUUAGCAGCGACAGCAACCAAUCAGUUGGGAAAUUGUGGGUGUAAGAUGGGAGAUGGCUUUCCCUCACUAUUUUAACAAGCAAUUUCUCCUACUUGGAGAAUGGUAGGCCAACGGUCAAAAGAAGACGCACCAUCUCUGUUUUUUUUUUAUUUUA